AACGAACGCUGGCGGCAUGCCUAACACAUGCAAGUCGAACGAGAUCUUCGGGUCUAGUGGCGCACGGGUUCGUAACGCGUGGGAAUCUGCCCUUUGGUUCGGAAUAACAGUUGGAAAGGACUGCUAAUACCGGAUGAUGACGAAAGUCCAAAGAUUUAUCGCCAGAGGAUGAGCCCGCGUAGGAGUAGCUAGUUGGUGUGGUAAAGGCGCACCAAGGCGACGAUCCUUAGCUGGUCUGAGAGGAUGAUCAGCCACACUGGGACUGAGACACGGCCCAGACUCCUACGGGAGGCAGCAGUGGGGAAUAUUGGACAAUGGGCGAAAGCCUGAUCCAGCAAUGCCGCGUGAGUGAUGAAGGCCUUAGGGUUGUAAAGCUCUUUUACCCGGGAUGAUAAUGACAGUACCGGGAGAAUAAGCUCCGGCUAACUCCGUGCCAGCCGCCGCCGUAA
rnacentral:rRNA from 1 species